rnacentral:rRNA from 1 species
GACGAACGCUGGCGGCGUGCCUAAUACAUGCAAGUCGAGCGAAGUUUUUCUGGUGCUUGCACCGGAAAAACUUAGCGGCGAACGGGUGAGUAACACGUAAAGAACCUGCCUCAUAGACUGGGACAACUAUUGGAAACGAUAGCUAAUACCGGAUAACAGCAUUAACUGCAUGGUUGAUGUUUAAAAGUUGGUUUUGCUAACACUAUGAGAUGGCUUUGCGGUGCAUUAGCUAGUUGGUGGGGUAAAGGCCUACCAAGGCGACGAUGCAUAGCCGACCUGAGAGGGUGAUCGGCCACACUGGGACUGAGACACGGCCCAGACUCCUACGGGAGGCAGCAGUAGGGAAUCUUCCGCAAUGGGCGAAAGCCUGACGGAGCAACGCCGCGUGAGUGAAGAAGGAUUUCGGUUCUUAAAGCUCUGUUGUUAGGGAAGAAUGAUUGUGUAGUAACUAUACACAGUAGAGACGGUACCUAACCAGAAAGCCACGGCUAACUACGUG